UCGCCAUGGCCCGCAAGCCAGGAUCCGGGGCCGAAUGUCCUCUUUACACCAGCCUGUGGGAUUUUCAGGCGCGGACCGAAACGGAGCUGAGCUUCCAGGCAGGAGACCUGUUCCGGGUGAUUGAGAAGACCGGGGAGUGGUGCUGGGCCAAGCAGGUGGAUGCUCUGGGCAGAAAAUGCGAGGAAGGCUACGUCCCUUAUAGCUACCUCGCCCGGAAAGAGACGGUGGAGACGGAGCCGUGGUUCUUUGGGCAAAUCUCCCGUUCCGAAGCAGUGCUUCGACUGAUGUCCGAAGAAAAUAAAUCUGGGGCCUUCCUGAUCCGUAUCAGUGAGAAAAGCGGGGCAGACUAUGUGCUUUCAGUCCGCGACGGCCCGCAGGCCAGGCACUACAAGAUCUUGCGGGACGCCGGGGGGAGUUUCUACAUGAACGGGACGAGGUCUUUCCCGGACCUGCUCGCCCUGGUUACGUGUUACAAGGAAAAGGUUCUAACUCACGGGUUGAGGCUUUCGGAUCCCUGCCACAAGCCGGAGCCAAAUACCAUGCCCCACUGGGAUGACUGGGAGAGGCCCAAAGAAGAGUUUCAGCUGAUCCGGAAGCUGGACGCAGGCUACUUUGGAGAAGUCUACGAGGGACUCUGGAAGGACAGAAUAAAGGUUGCGGUCAAGGUGUUGCCCAAAGCUGAUCUGAUGUGCCAGGACACCUUCAAAAAUGAAAUUGAGGCCCUGAAGCUGUUGAAGCACAAGAACAUUCUCUCCCUAUACGCCAUCUGCUCCGUCGGGGAUCCCGUCUACAUCAUUACAGAAAUCAUGAGCAAAGGGAACUUGCUCGCGUUCCUGCGAGGUUCUGAUGGGAAGCAGAUGGAAGUGGUGGAGCUGGUCAGCUUGGCUUCCCAAGUGGCCGAGGGGAUGAGCUACCUCGAAUCGCACAAUUUCAUCCAUCGCGAUCUGGCUGCCAGGAACAUCCUGGUGGGAGAAAACAACGUCUGCAAAGUGGGAGAUUUUGGAAUGGUCCGGCUGAUCAAGGAUCAUAUUUACCUCUCUUACUCGCACAAAAUUCCUUACAAAUGGACAGCACCGGAAGCGCUUUCCCACGGCUGCUUCUCCAUCAAAUCCGACGUGUGGUCCUUCGGCGUCCUCCUGUAUGAGAUCAUGACUUGGGGCCAGAACCCGUAUCCAGGCAUGAGUAACUGGGAGGUGUUCACGCACGUUCAAAACGGUUUCCAGAUGUCCUGCCCGCCCAGGUGCCCGUCCGCCAUGUACACCAUCAUGUGCAAAUGCUGGAAACUAGAGCCCACCCAAAGGCCGGACUUCAAGAGCAUCCGAGAGCAACUCCAGAGUUUCACCAGCUAUGAGAACUUUGACGCCCUCCCUUAAAACUACCUUAAACAAUUGGGGACAAGUUGAAACUUCCCACAUCUUAACAUUCACCCACAAAUAAGGGGUAGAGGGGCAGAUCACGGCUACCGAGAAACUGUAGCACCAUCAGCCCUGUUGGGAAGGGAAGGGACGGAUCCUAGUUUAACAAAAAAGUCGUGUCUCUGGGACACUGGUUCACCCAGCCACUGAAAUAAACUGCAAGGAUUUUCAAAA